GGCGCCAUUUUGUCUCGGCAGCGGUGGCCGUAGCUCCAUCGCAUUUUAUGUUUCUGGCGAGAAGGGAACGGAGUUUUCAUCAGGUAGAUUGGUUUUUGUGCGGCCGUCCUCCACCGUUUCCUCCAGGACAGCACCUAGUCGUGGCCGGAGGAGUCUCAGAGCUGUCAGAAAGUGCAAGAAAUCAGCCAGCGUGGUGGCAUGCACCUGUGUUCCCCACUAAUCAAGAGGCUGAGGUGGGAUGAUCACCUGAGUCCAGGAGAUCAAGGCUCCAGUGAACCAUGAUUGUGCCACUGAACUCCAGCCUGGGUGACAGUGAGACUUCAUCUCAAAUAUAUAGGUGUGUGUGUGUGUAUGUGUGUGUAUAUAUAUAUACACGUGUAUAUAUAUAUGAAUAGAUUACGUAUUUAAGGCUAGGGAUGCUUGUGUAGUCCAUCAGAAAGCUUUUUUUUCUUAACUGCACUUACAUUUGUUGUCCUUUUUAUUAUUGCCCCGCCCCCCCAAAAAAUUUCUGGUCUUUCUUUAGCUUUAUUUCUGAGCAUUUUAUCUUGGACCUCUCUUUCUUCAAGUAGAAAUAAUCGGCUGGGCGUGGUGGCUCAUGCCUGUAAUCUCAGC
rnacentral:antisense_RNA from 1 species